rnacentral:lncRNA from 1 species
UUUUUUUUUUUUUUUUUUAAUCUUCAUGUUUAGAUAUGUAUACUGGCUUCUUUAAGUCACUGCUUUCCAAUUGUGGUUUCCUCCAUCCUAGUUCUUCAUUUUUUUUUUUUAAAUUGGAGAAGCCCUUUCAGUAUUUCUUUUAGAAUGGGUUUUGUAUUGCUGUACUCUAUCAGCUUUUGCUUGUUGGAGAAAUUCUUCAUUUCCCCUUCUAUUUUAAAUGAUAUUCUUGCUGGAUAGAGUAUUGUAGAUGGCAGAUUUUUUUCCUUUCAGUGCUUUAAAUGUAUCUCACUACUCCUUUCUGGCCUAAAGUGUUUUUGUAGAGAAAUCAGCAGAUAGUCUUAUUGGGGUUCUCUUAUAAUGAAUGAUUUGCUUUUCUCCUGCUGCCUUUCAAAUCCUCUCUUUGUGGUUAACCUUGGCCAUUUUUAUUAUAACAUGUCUUGCUGUGGGCCUGUGUGGGUUCAACUUGUUGGGGUGCUCUGUGCUUCCUGUAUCUUGAUAUCACUCUCCUUUGACUCUUUCUUCAUAAACUCUAUUCCAUGACUCCCUGUUGUGGUGCACUGGAAACUGGCAAUGUCCCCUGCCCUUCUACCCCAGCCACAAGGACCAGACCCUCCCUUUGGCUGAUGACACGAGGAGAUUUCCAACCAGAUGUCCCUACCCCAAGAUAUUCACUCUUCUAAGUCCCAGCAGGUUUCUUUCUAACCCCCAUCAACUCCCUGAGCAAUACCAGCUGCCUCCACCAGGCCUGGGUAUGGGCAUCUUCUGAAAAGGCUCUACCAAGAAAUUGAGAGAAAACCAGAUGUCUAAAGGAAUGAGAUAUGAAGAGGGUCCAGAUUAGGGGUGUGCUGGUGCAGCCCAGGGUCUUGCAAGAGCCGAGGUCUGCGGGGGCCUUAGCUGGCCAGGCUCCACUCCCAGACCAGCUCUCUUGGGCCCUGCUGGUACAGCGGUCCCUUCUCGGCCUUGGACAGUGCCUUGUUCUGGACAUCCAGGGCUUCGCCAGGCACAGGGGCCCAUAUGCGGAUAGAUUGAAACCUGUGGUUGUCCUGAGGGUCAGUCAGGAGCUUCCUAAAACAUGGCACUAGUGCCUGCCUACUUGGAUUAAAUGGGCUGGUCUACUCUGGGAUGCCUAUGUUUGGACCUUCACCUGAGUGGCCAUGGAUGGCAGAGACUCCUCUGACAUAGAUCCAUUGAUCACAGUAAGUCCCCUGUCCUUCCUAGAGUGAUUCUGUCUGGGGGGGGGGGCUCAUCUGUGAUCUCAUUUGUUUGGGGGUUCUGGUGGGCCUAGCCUGCUGGGACUUGGACUGCUGACAUCCCACCUAAACCAGCAUAUUCACCAAUAUCAGCUACAUCUUCCAUGGGAUUGAUGAGGUCCAGAGGUUCAUGCCUCUCCCUAAGCCCAUGGCCCUUCCUCCUCAUACCCAGGUUCCAUACCAGUCUCCGAAGGCUGCUGGCUCACCUGGGACUGGAACAUCCUUUGUGCCUCCAGAGCCCUGGCCCCUGCCACUCUUCAUGCUCANCCUUGUCCCUGCCACUGGUCAUGCUCGAGGUCCUGCAGCAGGCUUGGUGCAGAUCCACCAAGCUCCCUGUGCUCCUAGCUCUGCCUCAGAGUCCAGUCUCCUCUCUGGAACCUGCCGCCCCUCCCCCACCAGCUCCAUCAGCUUGCCAUGGCUUUCCAAUGCCAUCUGGGCAUUCCUGUCCAACAGUGGCCGCCCCACAAACCAAGCCUGCAGUCUCACAUAAACAAACGAAAGACUCCUCCUGCUCCUGCCUUGGGGCCCUACAGCCCCUCCUGUCCUCUGUCCUUACUUCUUCUGUUGGGGUCCUCCUUCUGACUCCCUGGACAAGGAGAGAGGACAUGAGAGGGAGACUGUCCCAGCAGGAAGGCAGGGGUGGGGACGCUGGUGGAGCCCAGCUGGGGACAGAGAGGGUGUCUUCCAUUGAGACUCCACCCUGCCGUGGGAGUGCACAGGCCUUUGGAGAGAGAGUAUCGGUCAGCUCCAGCUGCCGUCACAAAUCCCACGGGCAAUGGGGCUUAAAUAACAAGAAUUUACCAACUCACCCUUGUGGAGCCCAGCCUUCUGAGAUCCAGGUAUGAACAAGCUUGGUUUGCCCUGAGGCCUCUCUCCUUGGCUUCCAGAUGGCCAUCUCUUCCCUGUGACCUCACAUCAGCUCCCUCUGUGUGUUUCUGGGCCUAAAUUUGCCCUUUCUAUAGGGGCACCCGUCAUAUUGUCUUGGGGGCCACCUUAGUGACCUCAUGUCAGCUCUUUCUUUACAAACUCUGCUCCAGGGCUUCCUGUUGUGGUGCACUGGAAAUGAACCCCAGUAGUCACCAUGAGUGUUCAGGGUCAAUCCCUGGCCUCGCUCAGGAAGGGGAGGAUCCAAUGUUGCCGUGAGCUGUGGUGUAGGUCACAGACACGGCUUGGAUGUGGCGUUGCUGUGGCUGUGGUGUAGGCCGGCAGCUGAAGCUCUGAUCGAUCGAUCGGAUGCCAAGCCUGGGACCUUCUAUAUGCCGCCCCUGCAGCCCUAUACAAACAAACAAAUGUAAACAACAAGAAGACAAAGAAAACUCUGCUCCACCUAAAGUCAUGUGCUGAGGUACUGGGGGAGAAGACUUCAACAUAUGAAUUUCGGGGGAUAGAGUUCAGCCCCUUUUGGCCAGUGUCUACAGUGCAAGGGAUGAAGGGUCUUUCCUAAAGUAAAGAAACAUCACCCCUGGGGUUGGGAGGAGGGAGGACUGACUCCCCAUGGUGAGGGAGGGAGGGACGUUUCCAGAGUGCAGGGCACUUGAGCUGGAUUGGAGCCCAUGACCCAAGGCCAUGAGGCAGGGGCUUCCAGCCUGUGGCAUAUAAGGCUCUCGAAGGCAGGGGGUCCAGGAGACUGAGGGGGAAGCCGAGAGAGGAGCUCCAGUGCCAGGCUGUGAGCUGAGGUCCAGGCUUGCAGUCCUCAGACCUCUGCUCCUAGAUUCGGUUCCCAGCACCCUCUUUAAGCACACCCAUGGCCCCGCUCUCCCCAGCCUGAAGGGGCACAACUCACCACCCACCUUCCUGGUCCCUAACCCUGCAUGAACUGCUCCAUUCUGUGCAAGGGCCCCAGCCGGCCUGUCCACAUACCUCCAGCCCUUGGAGCCUGAUGUCUCCUUUUCUGCUUAGCUGACUCAGGCCCUGGUUAGUUCCUUGAAGCAGUGUUGUAGAAAUCCUUCCUGCCACCUGACUGACACAGAGCUCUCAUGCAGCCAGCAUGAUCCUAGGAAGCCCUGCAUUGAACCCAUCCCAGGCUUCAGUACCUGCUGUAAUGUGAUUAUUGAAAUAUCUCCUCCUAAUAUUUGCCCAUUUUCUAGUGGAAUUGGCCCUACAUUUAUGGUUAUGUUUUGGCAGUACCUUAUUCCCUCGAGAUACCAGACUUGUGUCAAAUGUGUGGUUGGCAGGUAGUUUCUCCAAACCUGUAGCUUCUAUUCACCUAGGAAAAUGUUUAAAUUUGAUGAGGUCCAUUUGUCUGUUCUUUUUUCUGGGGUAAUGUUUUGACUGUCAUGUGGAAGAACACAUUUUGAUGUUGCUGAUGUUGCCUAUUCAAGCAGAAUUCAUUUAGUUAUCUUCAGUUUGAUUGAAGUACAGUGACUUAAAAUAUUGUGAUAUUUUCUGCUGUGUAACAAAGUGAUUCAGUCAUACAUAUACACACAUCUAUUCUCUCUCAGAUUCUAUUACCAUAUUGACUAUCACCAAAUGUUGGCUAGAGUUCCCUGGGUUAUACAGAAGAUUCCUGUUGGCCAGUCAUUCCAUAUACCUCAGUGUAUAUGCAUAAGCCAGUCCCAAACCCCCAGUCCAUCCUCCCCCUGACUUGUCUCCUUUGGUAACCAUAAGUUUUUCCAAUUCUGGGAGUCUGUUUCUGUUCCACAAAUAAGUUCAUUUGUGUCAUCUCUUUAGAUUCCACAUAAAAGUGAUAUCAUAUAGUGUUUGUCUUUCACUGUCCGACUAACUUCACUUAGGAUGAUAAUUUCUAGGUCCAUCCUUGCUGUUGCAAUGUUCAUUAUUUCAUUCUCUUGUAUGAUAGUGUAGUGUUUUCCUGUAUAUAUGUGCCAUAUCUUUUUUAUCUAUUCCUCUGUCAGUGGCCAUUUAGCUUGCUCCUUUGUCUUGGCUAUUGUAAAUGGUGCUUCAGUGAACAUUGGGGUGCAUGUAUUUUUUGAAGGGCCUUUAUUUCCUCUUGAUGAAGUCCAAUUUUCUGUUCUUUCCUUUCCUUUUGGGGUAAUGUUUUUUCUUGUCAUAUGGAAGAACUCUUUACCAAGCCCAGAGAUUUUCUCCAAUAUUUUUUUUUUGGUAAAUAUUCCAUAGUUUGUAUUUAUACAAUUCCUAUAUUUGCACUUAAGUUCCAUUAUGAGUUAAUUUUAGUAUCUGAUAAAAACACUAUCCCUAUUCCAUUAUACUGCUCUUGAACUUCUGUAUUAGAACAUCCCAGGUUGUUGUAUUGCUAUGGAUCUGUUUCUGUAUUCUCUCUCUGUACACUGAACUCUGUCUGCAUCUAUUCCUCCACCAAUGCCCAAAUGUCUUACAUAGAGCAUUCUCAUAAGCCCAAUAUCCUCCAACUCUAAGGUGCUUUCUUGAAAUUAUUUUUGAUGUUCUGGCUCCUUUAUCUUUUCUUUAUACAUUUCAGAAUAUGUUCAUCCAUGUUGACCAAAAAAAACUUCUGUUGGAACUUGACAGUUUUCUAUGUUGUCUUCCCAUCCAUGAAUAUACUACAUUUCCCCAUUUUUGUAGGUCUUGUUUAGAUUUAUCAUACAGAUCCUCUAUCACAAAUAUUUAUACCUGGAUUUCCCAUUGUGGCUCAGUUUGUGAAGAAUGUGAAAUAGUGUCCAUGACGGUGCAUGUUUAAUUCCUGACCUGGCUGAGUGGGUUAAGGGUCCAGUGUUGCCACUAGCAGCAGUGUUGUUUGCCCAUGCAGCUUGGACUUGGAGUUGCUGUGGCUGUGAUAUAGGCUGGUAGACAUAGCCCCAGUUUUACCCCCUUGCCUGGGAACAUCCACAUGCCAUGGGUGCAGUCAUAGAAUGAACUAUGUAACCAAAUGCUUCAAGGUUUUUUACAAAUCUUGUGAAUUGCAUUGUAUUUUUAGUUUGGUUCCAAGGUCUUUUUUGUAUAUACACAUAUGUUGAAUGUUUUUGUGUUGAUCUUAUAUACUGAGUCUUUGAUAAAGUAACCUCCAUCUAUUAAGUGUGUCGUAGAGAUUUGGUGGGCAUUUCUGUGGAGGUAGUCAUGCUAUCUAUUAGCAUGGAGAGUUAUAUUUCCUCCUUUCUAAUAUAUAUAUGUCUUUAUUUCUUUUUCUUGCAGUGCUGCCCUGGCUAGUACCUACCAGUUACUAAGUAGAAAAGGACAAAUGAAAAAGAACUUUCUGACCUGUUUUGAAUUUAGGAGGAAAAACUUUCAUUCUUUCACCAUCACAUAUGAGGCUUGGUGUAGAUUUUUGUCUAGAUGUUCUUUACUGGGUUCGAGUAGUGUCCUUCUCUUCCCAGUUUUAUGAGAGUUUCUGACAUGAAUGGGUGUUGAACUUUGUCAAAUGCUUUUUCUGCUUAAGCCAUUGUGACCAUGCAGGUUUUCCUCAUUAAUGUAUUAAUACAGAAUAUAAAGAUGCUGAUUUUGCAUAUUAAACCAAGCUAGUAUUCCCCGGAUACAUUCCAUCUGAAUGUAGUGUAUUGUUAUUACCUUCUUUGUGCAUGCAUUUGUUUUAUUUUAUGAUUUCUUUUUCUUAAUUCCUUGUGUGAAAAAGUAGGUUGUUGAUUGGAGACCUUUUAUCUUUUCAAUUCUAUAAGCAUUUAUUGACAUUUGUUUCCCUCGUAACAGCAGUUUGUCUGGAUUCUAUGACUUCUUAUGUACUGCAUGUUCCUUUGCCUUCAAUUCUGUAUACCUUCAAAGUUAUCCUUGAGAAUCCUCUUUGAGCAUGGAUUCUUUCAAAGGGUGCAUCUCAAUGUCCACAUAUCUGGAGGCUUACUUUCUUCUCAUUUGUGUUGUUAUACAAUGGACAUCAUAUGCUUUGGACACAGUGGAGUGAAAUGCAGUGACUAUGCAUUUCGUUAUUAUAUACGUUCUUCAAAUGUCACUGGCAUUAACAUUUCAAAAGUGAAUGUUACAGAGUAGUUCUCUGCUCUUUUCCCUUAUACUGUAACCAUAAGGGAAUUACCUGAACAUAUAAAUGCCAGGCUUCUGAAGAUGUGUCUAACAGGGCCAGUUCACAGACACCCCUGCACAUUGUUUUCUGGAUCAGCUUGCAAGUACGGAGCCAGGGUUCAGGAGAGGGGCCCAGAUCUAGCACUCUGGUGCUUUAUAUGGCAUGAGUAGAGAAGCUGUGGUCCCAAGUGGGCACUGGCUACAAACAGAAGGCUGACAUGCAGGACCCAGGUCCAGUCCCUGGUUGCAGGAUGAGAACUCACAGUGGGUUAAGCUCCAGCCUCUCUCCUGCU